GAGCAGAUAGACCUCUCUGGUUUGCCUCCAAGCAAAGUCUCUCCUACUUAGAUGGCAGCCUGCCCGGCGACUACGGAUUCGACCCGCUCGGCUUGUCCGACCCAGAAGGUACCGGAGGCUUCAUCGAGCCCAGAUGGCUAGCCUAUGGCGAGAUCUUCAACGGCCGUACCGCCAUGGUCGGCUCUAUCGGAUGCAUCGCCCCAGAAAUCUUGGGCAAACUCGGCCUAAUUCCGCCAGAAACCGCUCUGCCGUGGUUCAAAACAGGCGUGAUCCCGCCCGCUGGGACCUACGACUAUUGGGCUGACCCAUACACUCUUUUUGUUUUCGAAUUGGCACUAGUGGGCUUUGCAGAGCACAGGAGGUUCCAGGCUUGGUACAACCCAGGCUCAAUGAGUAAACAGUACUUUUUGGGCCUGGAGAAAUAUUUGGGCGGGACGGAUAACCCUGCAUACCCUGGUGGGCCACUGUUUAACCCACUUGGGCUUGGAAAGGAUGAGAAGUCAAUGAGGGAUAUGAAGUUGAA
rnacentral:misc_RNA from 1 species